rnacentral:rRNA from 1 species
CGAACCUGCCCCAGACUCUGGGAUAACAGUUGGAAACAGCUGCUAAUACCGGAUACGAGACGGAGAGGCAUCUCUACCGUCUGGAAGUUUUUCGGUCUGGGAUGGACUCGCGCCUAUCAGCUAGUUGGUGAGGUAAUGGCUCACCAAGGCGACGACGGGUAGCCGGCCUGAGAGGGCGACCGGCCACACUGGGACUGAGACACGGCCCAGACUCCUACGGGAGGCAGCAGUGGGGAAUAUUGCACAAUGGGCGAAAGCCUGAUGCAGCGACGCCGCGUGAGGGAUGACGGCCUUCGGGGUUGUAAACCUCUUUCAGCAGGGAAGAAGCGAAAGUGACGGUACCUGCAGAAGAAGCACCGGCUAACUACGUGCCAGCAGCCGCGGUAAUACGUAGGGUGCGAGCGUUGUCCGGAAUUAUUGGGCGUAAAGAGCUUGUAGGCGGUUUGUCGCGUCUGCAGUGAAAAUCCGAGGCUCAACCUCGGACUUGCUGUGGGUACGGGCAGACUAGAGUAUGGUAGGGGAGG